rnacentral:rRNA from 1 species
GAUGAACGCUGGCGGCGUGCCUAAUACAUGCAAGUCGAGCGAACGGACGAGAAGCUUGCUUCUCUGAUGUUAGCGGCGGACGGGUGAGUAACACGUGGAUAACCUACCUAUAAGACUGGGAUAACUUCGGGAAACCGGAGCUAAUACCGGAUGAUAUUUUGAACCGCAUGGUUCAAAAGUGAAAGACGGUCUUGCUGUCACUUAUAGAUGGAUCCGCGCUGCAUUAGCUAGUUGGUAAGGUAACGGCUUACCAAGGCAACGAUGCAUAGCCGACCUGAGAGGGUGAGCGGCCACACUGGAACUGAGACACGGUCCAGACUCCUACGGGAGGCAGCAGUAGGGAAUCUUCCGCAAUGGGCGAAAGCCUGACGGAGCAACGCCGCGUGAGUGAUGAAGGUCUUCGGAUCGUAAAACUCUGUUAUUAGGGAAGAACAUAUGUGUAAGUAACUGUGCACAUCUUGACGGUACCUAAGCAGAAAGCCACGGCUAACUACGU